UUGACCUCGGAUCAGGUAGGGAUACCCGCUGAACUUAAGCAUAUCAAUAAGCGGAGGAAAAGAAACCAACAGGGAUUACCUCAGUAACGGCGAGUGAAGCGGUAACAGCUCAAAUUUGAAAUCUGGCCCCCUCGGGGCCCGAGUUGUAAUUUGUAGAAGAUGCUUUGGGCGUGGGCCUGGCCUAAGUUCCUUGGAACAGGACGUCGUAGAGGGUGAGAAUCCCGUAUGCGGCUGGUGCCCUCGCCCGUGUAAAGCUCUUUCGACGAGUCGAGUUGUUUGGGAAUGCAGCUCUAAAUGGGUGGUAAAUUUCAUCUAAAGCUAAAUAUUGGCCAGAGACCGAUAGCGCACAAGUAGAGUGAUCGAAAGAUGAAAAGCACUUUGGAAAGAGAGUUAAACAGUACGUGAAAUUGUUGAAAGGGAAGCGCUGGCAACCAGACUUGGGCGCUGCUGAUCCGCGGGGGUUCUCCCCCGGGCACUCGGUAGCGCGCAGGCCAGCAUCGGUUUGGGUGGCUGGAGAAAGGCUGGUGGAAUGUAGCUGCCCUCGGGCAGUGUUAUAGCCACCGGCGUCAUGCAGCCCACCCGGACCGAGGACCGCGCUUCGGCUAGGAUGCUGGCGUAAUGGUUGUCAGCGACCCGUCUUGAAACACGGACCAAGGAGUCUAACAUCUAUGCGAGUGUUUGGGUGUCAAACCCAUGCGCGGAAUGAAAGUGAACGCAGGUGAGAGCCCGUAAGGGUGCAUCAUCGACCGAUC
rnacentral:rRNA from 1 species